GGAGAGAAGAUGCUACAGCAUCCGCACCGGCGCCCAGCAGGUUGCUUCUACGGGCCAACUGAUGCCAGCAAAGAGGCUUCCAAAGAGGCUAGGAGGCGAAGCUGGGUGUAGGGGGGCUGGCUGCUUGCCUUUCCGCAGAAGAAACACCUCUUUUAGGUGAAAUAAGACACCCUAGCUUGGAAAUAGGCAGGGGGCCAGGAGGGGACCUGCCCUGCUUCUCGCGUCCCUGGGGACUCGCUUCCCUUUAGCUUUCCAACUCCUGGUGGUAGCCAUAAACUCCAGAGGGGCUCCGGGUGGGUGACUGGGUGGAGAAAUUCCCUUCCAGAUAGUCCUCACACCUUUCCCCAAAGCUCAGGUUUCGGGGCCACACUCUGGGUGGCCCGGUGGCGGAGGGAGAGCAGCGUCGCUUGGUUCAGUUUCUACAAGUCAAACCCAGUCCCCACUUGCCGGCUUCCCGGGUCUCCAGCAGCACGCGGGGAGCUGCGGCUGUUCGGGCAAUCGGGCCACUGCUGCUUUAAGAGCCGCCUCCCCCUCUCCUCCCUUUGACAAUGGUCUGAACCGAGCUCUGCUUCCCAAAGCAAAAUUUGUAAUAUGCCAUUUUUCCGAUGGACGCUUCUCCUUUUGGCUGCUGACGGAGCCACGGAAAGAUGCCGAGCUGCUGCCACGCCACCCAGCCGGGGCACGUUCCAGAGGACGCCGGGGCACCCGACUGUCUAAGCUACCUUUCUCCUCGCGUUGCUAGGGAAAUGGUCCACGAGUGCCGGGUGUGAGCCUCCCCGCUCGUCAAGCCGGAGACUGCGGUUGUCAGUGAUCAAUUGAAGAAGCAGGACCCGAAAUUACAGACAUUAGCAAUGAUGUGUGAAGUGAUGCCCACAAUUAAUGAGGACACCCCAAUGAGCCAAAGGGGGUCCCAAAGCAGUGGCUCGGACUCAGACUCCCAUUUUGAGCAGCUGAUGGUGAAUAUGCUAGAUGAAAGGGAUCGUCUUCUAGACACCCUUCGGGAAACCCAAGAAAGCCUCUCACUUGCCCAGCAAAGACUGCAGGAUGUCAUCUAUGACAGAGAUUCGCUCCAGAGACAGCUCAAUUCAGCCCUGCCACAGGAUAUCGAAUCCCUAACAGGAGGGCUGACUGGUUCUAAGGGGGCUGAUCCACCGGAAUUUGCUGCACUGACAAAAGAAUUAAAUGCCUGCAGAGAACAACUUCUAGAAAAGGAAGAAGAAAUUUCUGAACUUAAAGCUGAAAGAAACAAUACAAGACUGUUACUGGAGCAUUUGGAGUGCCUUGUGUCACGACAUGAAAGGUCACUAAGAAUGACGGUGGUGAAGCGACAAGCCCAGUCCCCCUCGGGAGUGUCCAGCGAAGUUGAGGUUCUCAAGGCGCUGAAAUCUUUAUUUGAGCACCACAAGGCCUUGGAUGAAAAGGUAAGGGAGCGACUGAGGGUUUCUUUAGAAAGAGUCUCUGCACUGGAAGAAGAACUAGCUGCUGCUAAUCAGGAGAUUGUUGCCUUGCGUGAACAAAAUGUUCAUAUACAAAGAAAAAUGGCAUCAAGUGAGGGAUCCACAGAGUCAGAACAUCUUGAAGGGAUGGAACCUGGCCAGAAAGUCCAUGAAAAGCGUUUGUCCAAUGGUUCUAUAGAUUCAACUGAUGAAACAAGUCAAAUAGUUGAACUACAAGAAUUGCUUGAAAAACAAAACUAUGAAAUGGCCCAAAUGAAAGAACGUUUAGCAGCCCUUUCUUCCCGAGUGGGAGAGGUGGAACAGGAAGCAGAGACAGCAAGAAAGGAUCUCAUUAAAACAGAAGAAAUGAACACUAAGUAUCAAAGGGACAUUAGGGAGGCCAUGGCACAGAAGGAAGAUAUGGAAGAAAGAAUCACGACCCUUGAGAAGCGUUACCUCAGUGCUCAGAGAGAAUCUACCUCCAUACAUGACAUGAAUGACAAACUAGAAAAUGAGUUAGCAAAUAAAGAGGCCAUCCUACGGCAGAUGGAAGAGAAGAAUAGACAGUUACAAGAGCGUCUUGAGCUAGCUGAGCAAAAGUUGCAGCAAACUAUGAGAAAAGCUGAGACCUUACCUGAAGUAGAGGCUGAACUGGCUCAGAGAAUUGCAGCCCUGACAAAGUCUGAUCCAACCUCUUCUACCUCAUCUGAUGAUUAUCAAUAUGUUAUGGAAGCUAAGCUACAAGAAAUGAUCUCCAUACGUAGGAAGGCUGAAGAAAGACAUGGAAACAUUGAAGAACGUAUGAGGCAUCUAGAAGGUCAACUUGAAGAGAAAAAUCAAGAACUUCAAAGAGCUAGGCAAAGAGAGAAAAUGAAUGAGGAGCACAACAAAAGAUUAUCCGAUACUGUGGAUAGACUUCUGACUGAAUCCAAUGAACGCUUACAGCUACACUUAAAGGAACGAAUGGCUGCUCUAGAAGAGAAGAAUGUUUUAAUUCAAGAAUCAGAAACUUUCAGAAAGAAUCUGGAAGAAUCUUUGCAUGACAAGGAAAGAUUAGCAGAAGAAAUUGAAAAGCUGAGAUCUGAACUUGACCAGUUGAAAAUGAGAACUGGCUCUUUAAUUGAACCCACAAUAUCAAGAACUCAUCUAGACACCUCAGCUGAGCUGCGGUAUUCUGUUGGAUCCCUAGUGGACAGCCAGUCUGAUUACAGAACAACUAAAGUAAUAAGAAGACCAAGGAGAGGCCGCAUGGGUGUGAGGAGAGAUGAGCCAAAGGUGAAAUCUCUUGGGGAUCAUGAAUGGAAUAGAACUCAACAAAUUGGAGUGCUAAGCAGCCACCCUUUUGAAAGUGACACAGAAAUGUCUGACAUUGAUGAUGAUGAUAGAGAAACGAUUUUUAGCUCAAUGGAUCUUCUCUCUCCAAGUGGUCAUUCUGAUGCCCAGACCCUAGCCAUGAUGCUUCAGGAACAAUUGGAUGCUAUCAACAAAGAAAUCAGACUAAUUCAGGAAGAGAAAGAAUCUACAGAGUUACGUGCUGAAGAAAUUGAGAAUAGAGUGGCUAGUGUGAGUCUGGAAGGCCUGAAUUUAGCAAGGGUCCACCCAGGUACCUCCAUCACUGCCUCGGUUACAGCUUCUUCGCUGGCCAGUUCAUCUCCCCCCAGUGGACACUCAACACCAAAGCUCACCCCUCGAAGUCCUGCCAGGGAAAUGGAUCGGAUGGGAGUCAUGACACUGCCAAGUGAUCUGAGGAAACAUCGGAGAAAGAUUGCAGUGGUAGAAGAAGAUGGUCGGGAGGAUAAAGCAACAAUUAAAUGUGAAACUUCUCCUCCCCCUACCCCUAGAGCCGUCAGGAUGACUCACACCCUCCCUUCUUCCUACCACAAUGAUGCCCGAAGUAGUUUAACUGCCUCCCUCGAGGCUGAAAGCCUUGGGCUUGGCAGUGCCAACAGCAGCCAAGACUCUCUUCACAAAGCCCCCAAGAAGAAAGGAAUCAAGUCUUCAAUAGGUCGUUUGUUUGGUAAAAAAGAAAAAGCUCGACUUGGGCAGCUCCGAGGCUUUAUGGAGACUGAAGCUGCAGCUCAGGAGUCCCUGGGGUUAGGCAAACUUGGAACUCAAGCUGAGAAGGAUAGAAGACUGAAGAAAAAGCAUGAACUUCUAGAAGAAGCUCGGAGAAAGGGAUUACCUUUUGCGCAGUGGGAUGGGCCCACUGUAGUCGCGUGGUUAGAGCUCUGGUUGGGAAUGCCUGCUUGGUAUGUGGCAGCCUGCCGAGCCAAUGUGAAGAGCGGUGCCAUUAUGUCUGCUUUAUCAGACACUGAGAUCCAGAGAGAAAUUGGAAUCAGCAAUCCUCUGCAUCGCUUAAAGCUCCGAUUAGCAAUCCAGGAGAUGGUUUCCCUAACCAGUCCUUCAGCUCCUCCAACAUCCAGAACUGUUUUCAACUGAGGAGCUGUGAUUCCUAUCAGACUUGAAGCCUGCAACCAAGAUAGACUUUUGAGCUAGCCUCUAGACUAAAGUUUAGAUUUUUCUCCCAAGCAACAAGACCAAGAGUUUACUCUUUUUCAGAAUUUUUCUUUUUAAUGUAAUCCAGCAUCUCAGGAGAUGAGCAAUAGGGCAUUAGUACUUUUUGAAGAUGUAAUGCUAGACUCACUACUUCUUAAGCAGUUUUCAUAAUUAUGAAAUUACCUUAGUAUUUAAUGUUUUAUAAAUAUCAAGUGGAUUAUCUUCCUUCAAAACCUGUUUGCCUUUUAUUUAUAAAUCCCUAUUUCUCUCAUAAUUUCAUCCCUAUCUUAAUAUUAGGAAAGAACAAAAUAUCUAAAAAAAGGCAUGCCAGAUGACAAAUUCAAACAGAGGAAAAACUCCCAAAUAAUAUUCAUUCUUUCUUUAGUCCUUUCCCAAAUUAUAUCUUUUGCUGAUAAAGGAUAUGGUUUCUGUUGUUAAAUGGAUUUUUCUGGUCCCAUGUCUUAUGCAAAAUAAUAAAAUAUGGAAGAAUGAGGUAAGUUUGAAUAGUGGGCAAAAGAUAGAAAAGUGAUAUUACUUUAUUUCAGUUUUCAGGCACAAAGCUAACUUGAGUAUAAAUUUUUACACAUGGUCUUAAACACAGACCAUAAAUUAGAGAAAUUUGCUUCAUUUUUUUUUUUUUUUUUUGCGGUAUGCGGGCCUCUCAUUGUUGUGGCCUCUCCCUUUGCGGAGCACAGGCUCCGGACGCCCAGGCUCAGCGGCCAUGGCUCACGGGCCCAGCCGCUCCGCGGCAUGUGGGAUCUUCCCAGACUGGGGCACGAACCCGUGUCCCCUGCAUCGGCAGGCGGACUCUCAACCACUGCGCCACCAGGGAAGCCCCCCCUUUUUAUUACAUAUAUUCUUGUAUUCCUUCCCAGUGCACUAGAUUCCAAUGCUAGAAAUACAAGGUCAAAUCACCAUUUGACCAAUCACCAUUUGACCAAGAUCACCAUUCUUCUCCAACUCAUCCUUCAUCUAAUGAUCCCUGCAUGUUCUUCCUCUAAAGAGUUUUCACUAAGCCCCAAAGUCUGGGUUUUCUUCCCUUCCUGAGUUACUACUCCGUAUACUUAUAAAAGCUAUUUUAUAAUUUUCCCUUCUUGAUUCAUCCCACACUAGGCCAAGCAAGUAUAUUAUCAGGUUUUCCAUAGUCCCCAGGCCUUCACUCAGUGCCUGGCAAAUUGUAAAUAGUCAGUAAAUAUGCAUCUUAAAAUGAUGAUUGUACAAGUCACUCUACUCACCAUUAUAGAGGAUAUGAGAUAUGUAUGCCCUGAUUACAGAGAGGGCAAUCAAACUAAGAAAAGGAAGAUAUGUUCACCAGCAGGUUUAGUAGAAGAUGACAUAGUUUAAUUCCUUAAUGUGAGAUAGAAGCAGAGUGCCGUGGAAUUCAAAGGAAGGAGAAAUCACUUCUGGUUGAAUAAGGCUUCAAAGAGGAAUUAACAUUUGAAAGACAGCUACAGUUACUGUAGAAGGCCUCUUACAAAAUAGAAUAGAGAUGGAGAUAUCUAUCAGGUAAUUGAAAUAUUUGGUUAAAGAGGUGUGUCAUAAAGAAUAAAUAAAUACUUUAAAUAUUUUAUCUUAAGUAAAAAUAUAUAAAUGUUCAGGCAUUUGCAAAUUUAGAUGAAACCCUAGGACUUUUCUUUGGGUAUAAUUCCAAUGCCUGGAGUUUCACAUUAUGUUUAUUUGAUAACUUCAUCCAUUAAACAUCUUCAAUUUUUAAAAUUUGAGUUUCUUUUUAAAGUGAUAACUUGAAGAUACUUGAAAAGCUAUGUGAGCACAGAAUUCUCCUGGAAAUUUACAAAUUCUUCCCCAGACUUUGCUGAAGUUGUAUCUCACUGACAAUGUGCUUUAAGAUUUACCUUUAUCUGGUCUUUCCAAAUAAUUCAACUUAGUGUUCAUACAUGAGCCAAGUUUAUUUAAUUUUGGCUCUAUGUAAUAUUUAUUUAAAUUGCCUAAUUUUUUAAAAAGUGCAGUGGAAGUAGACAGGUUUGGGAACAAAUAUAAAUGAUCUUUAGUAAACAUAGAAUUCAGCAAAUUUGAGCAGACACGUAAGGCAUAAGAUAGGCUUCAGCACAAUGUACGGGGAAAAUAGCAUUUAUUAAACUAAAGAUUUACUUGGGUAGAGAUUGUUUAAUGAAAAUUCUAGUGAAAUUGUAGUAACAGCCAACAUCAGUGGAGUACUUACUAAGUGUCAGUCCCUGUUCUAAGUGUUCUACAUGCAAUAACUCAUUUGAGCCUCAGGACAAUGCUAUGAGAUGGGUACUUUUUUGACAUCUAUUUUACAAAUGGGAAAAACUGAUGAACAGAGAGGUUAAAUGACUUGUCUAAGGUCACACCCCAGGUUGUUUUGCCCCAUAGUCUAUGCUCCUAACAAGUGUACUCUCCUGCUUCUUGAACUCUACCAGUUUUCCUUCUUCUUUGCAACAUUCUUCCAGUCUACUUUGGUUCCACUUUUCAUUAUUACUAACCUCCUAAGCCUCAACCUUUAAUAUAAAUAAGGUGAAAUAUAAUUGUGUAAAACUAGUCUUAUUAUAAUGAGAAAUAUUUCUCUUCUUAUGGUGAGACAUAUCAAUUCAGAUAAGGGAAAAAUGUGAAUCUAGGCCAUUUUGAAAGUGAAAAGUAAAUUUCAAAUUAAUUUAGUUUGUAAUUCAAUUAUAAAAUAAAAAAUUCUUCAAAAUGACUUAUGUAGUAACAGAAGUUACUUCUAGCUAGAUAAAGUUUAGGAUUAUUCUGAGGUCUGGCUGGUUUACUUAUUUUGUAUUUCUGACAGCAAGAGAAUUAUUUUCCUCCAAUUAAUUUUCAUGAGUUAUCCCUUAAACUCAUUUUUUCCUUAAACUCAUUUUAAUAUUAAUUUUUAUAUCAUAAUUCUGUCCUAAAUGAUUUAAUUAGUUAAGUGCUUUAAUUCUCAACAUCCUUUAGGAAUUUUCCUACUAGAUCUCAUUUGAUAAUACUAUCUGAAUACUCUACUCCAUCUGGACUAAAGUGAGGCCAGCAAGGCACCUCAAAUAAAAUUGAAUGAGGCACUCACUGUCAGUACCGACCUUGCACUUGCAUGAUCCUGAAAGUGAGUGCUUCUUUAAAUGUAGCCCCCUUGACACCUCACCUACCUCAUCCUAGUCCCAGCCCUGUAUCAGAAUAUAUUACAUCAUAAUUUUAAAUUAUUUGUAUUUUUUCUAGUAUGAGUAUGCACUUUUAGUCUACUUAAUGGAUGUAGAUUCUAAAAUUUAGAGAGGUUUAGGAAAUGUCCUGGGUAGUUACUGAGAAGUGGCACUGCUAGAACUCAAGCCUCUUGAUUAUAAUUUUGUAAAUUUCCAGAUAGUUAAAAUUUUAGAAAUCACUUGCUAGACUCAAAUGGUAUUCGCCACAAAAAAAAAAAGAAAAGAAGAAGAAGAAAAAAAGUCUACUGGUUUGCAUUCUCCAGCUCAGAUACUGGGGGUUGCAGCGUGGACUGAUGUAAAUGAUUUUCAGCGGCUCUCAGAAAACCACAACCAAAUUAUAUGAUACUUGUCCUUUAUGCUUUUCCAAGCUACUUUUUGCAUUGUCUUUAUCCUUGGACCCAAGGCACCAGAGUCCCUUGGUUGCUCAAAGCGUCCCACUCUAGCUAUUCUCUAAGAUGUGCUCAGACACACACAUGCUCUGAAACACUCAUGCUCUAAAGCACCCUUUUAUGACUUACCCUGUUGAAAGUUCCAUCUUUUAAACUGGUGGUAAAAAGAAAUAAAUCUGAAUAAUUGACUUACUACACAUGGGUUUGCUUAUAAAAUAAACUUGUUAAAACCUCAACUAAUGCCUAACUGAUUGGGUUGUUUAGAAGUCAUUUUAUGGAUUACUUUACAAGACUCUAGAGCAGGCAGUGCUUCUCAGAAGUAAAACUGCAGAGCAUAAGUGAACAGCUAACUUACAACUUCAGAAAGUUUCGUAACCAUAUUUUAGAAAAUUGCCCUGGAUAUAUACUCAUGUUGCAUGUAAAGAUACAGAUAAAGCCAUAGCUUGCAGAGUCCUACUCACCCCAGAAUAUGGUGAUAGACUGGCAAAUAUAGACUUUAACCUGUGAAAGAGAUUAUACAUGUAUGUAUUCUAGUAUGAAAUAAUACUGGUCAAGUUUCUUAUAGAAGGAGGGAGAUCUUCAUUGUUUGGAUUCACAAUCAAGGUCGAAUCCUUAGAAAUCAUUGUAAAACAAUCUGGCUUAAAUGAAUUUCCUCUCAGGUAACCAUCACUGAAGCUCACGUUAAACAGUAUAGCCACUCAGGCAAAACACUGUUGUCACUGAGUGUAAAGGGAAUGUGACAGAUGAUUGCAAAAUUAUUUUUAGCAUAGUACACGGCUCAAAAAUUCAGUAAAAGCAAUUUCUGCCAAAUGAUUUAAUGAUUCAUAUAUUCAUACACAACUUUCUCUUUAUAAUGAGCACCAUUCCUGGAACCUAGGGAUAGAAGGGAGGGGCAUUUAAUGACAUGGAUGGCUGCUGUAUUCUCAGUAUAUUUUACAGAUGUGCAUGGUUUUAUCUUUUAGGAAAAAAUUCAUAUAUGCUCAAAAUUCCAAAAUGGUAGGAGAAUGAGAAUUCUUUACAUAUAUAUGAUGCUUAUCCUUUGAGAUUUUAUGACCAUAUGAUUUAUUAUAAAUAUUUACUACUCAAAUCUGUUUUGUUACACAACUAUAUAUAUGAGUAACUCUCUUAUACAUGAGAUUUAUCUUAUGUCAAAUUAUAUUCAUCAAUUUAGUUUAUAUGUAGUUAUUUUAAAAAUUAUAUUAAAUUACAUUAUUUAUGAUAGAAAAUAAGUCAACAUGGUACUAUGUGUUGGUAGAAAAGGCAAGAGAGAAUUAUGGUGAUGACUUACGUCGGGGUAUCAACUUUGCUACUUCCAAUUCUUUGAAACUAGACCCCUUCCAAAACAAGUAACAAGCAAUACAUAAGAUUAAAUUCCACUGUAACUAUAGAAUUGAUGUGCUUGGACAACAUUGAAAUGUUCAUAAAUAUUUCCCAGUAAAAUGGUGGAAUUUGAUGGGAGGUGGUUCCCAGUGAUCUGUAUGUUACUAAGUGGACUUUGGUCUAGAAAUUGUAUGUAUUAAUACUUCAGUGUAUAAAACAAACAUCAUGGGUUGUUUUAUUUAGAAGGCAAAUGAGACUUCAUAAUAGAAUAAUGCCUGCUAGAGGGAAAAUUUCCUUUUACAUCUAUAAUAGUGAAGGAUACUGCUAAAAAAUUAGGAAACCUAGGUUUUGUGACUUCUGACAAUAUUUAAUGGAAAAAUACCUAUUAUUAACUCCAAAAUAGCAUUUCUCUUCUUUUUUCUCUAUAAGAAUAUAGGAAAACAACAUAUUUACUGAACUGUAAAAGGAAGCGGUCAUUUGGGAAAAGCUGAUAUUGGUUUCCACACAGUUUAUGAUAGAGCUUUCAGCUUUGUAUUUACAACCAGUUUUCUCUUUCCAAGGACUUUGAAGAAUUAAAACUUUGUGAACAAAAUAUAGGUAAUAACACAACAAAAUACAUGUGCCUUUGUUUACUGAAGAAAAAAAUAAAAAUAUUCUUCUACAGAUCAAAUUUAUUCAGUUCUCCAUGAUUACAAAAAGUGGAUCCAAUAGCUGCAUACCACUGAAAUGCAAAUUUUGAUUAAGCCUUUUUCCUGAUUAAUAAUUACAGAAGUAUCAUUUUAAAUCUAUCACAUGUGAGCUUCACAGCAUGCCUCUUUCUAUUUAAUCUUUUGAAGUAGAAGAAAAAGACAGCUAUGAGAAACUAGCAAUGCUGUCUCUUGUGCAUGCUAUAGAAGCAAGAGCAUGGUCGUGUUACUGUGGUACCAUUAACUUACAGUGGUGCUGCGUUUCUUCUUUACCACUGCUUCCCUCCCAUGGAUCCCACUGCUUCCCUCUGGGCCUCCUCACUAGCCUUCAGGCAACGUUUGGGUGACCCAUGAAGAAAUGGAAAAUCUUGCAGCUCCAGCAAAAACG